CAGGAAUGUGGCUUCAACAUGAAGACUUGCUACAUGAGACUCUUGCUGAGGAGUCUGCAAAUCUGUCACAAUUCCUGCCUCAGUUCUGUUUAUUUUCUCUCUUCCCCUUGGUUUUGCCAUUCUACACCUGUCCACCAGAUGCCCCCAGACUUUCUUGCCUGCUUCCCUCACCCACCUGCUCACCUGUUGGCACUCCCCAAUUAUCUUCACCUGCUGUUAAUUAUCUCUUCAGCCCCAGUUGCUUAUAUACCAGUCCUCUAUCAUUCAUUCCCUGCCCUGUUUGUCAAUGUAGCUUUGUUGUAUACUUGAGCCCCUUUUCCUCAAUCUGUUCCGAUUUGGGGUCUGCAUUUGGUUCCUUCUCCUGUUUGCUACAUCAUACCCACACCUGUGAUAGGGCCUGCAGAUUUCAGUGUUCAAAUUCUGGGCUUUAAAGAUCACUGUAUACGCAGUGAAGAGCGUGGGGAGCCAGCCAAACAGUCUGAAAGAGAGAACUGUGAAACUGACAGGAUUUGAAGCAGGAAUUUUUCAGUUGAAGUGCUUGGAUGCAGAAGAAACCGCAUGAAGAAAAG